rnacentral:lncRNA from 1 species
UCCUAUUAUUAGCCAACUUGUUGCAGCUGCUACCUCUCUUUACCCUGCUAUAUAAGCAUACACUCACCAAGAUUUCAACUUCCACAGCAAAUCAAUAACAUAUUCUCAUCAGAAAGCAGCGAUGGAAACCAAGUCAUCGAAAUCCAGCGUCCUCCUAUAUGUUCUUGUUCUUGCGCUGGUCUUGUCUCCAAUACUCCCAUGUCAAGCAGCUAGUGCGCAUCUAGGAGGUAAGCUAGUUGAUCUCUCAAUUUUCCCAUCUUCUAUGUUACGCUGUGUUUAGGCUUUCUUAUGGAGAGAAAAUUAUUAUUUUUUAUUAUUUUUUUAAUUGAGAGAAAAUAAUAUUUUGAUGGAAAGGUGGAGGCCCUGGAGGGCGUAAGCUGAUGGCACCGUCACCACCAGUUCGCAUGUGUCCACAGUGUGUGUGUUGCGCACCGGCUCCCCCUGGAUAUUGCUGCCCAUGUCGCUGUCCUGGUGGUCCCUAAAGAUUGUGAACUUUGCUAUCAAAGAUAAUACUGUGAAGUGUUAGAUAUAUGUGUAAUAUUAUAUAUAUGUAUGAAUAAGUAAACAAGAAGUGUACUCUUUUUGUUUCUAAUAAGAAAUUUUUGAAUAUCCGCUGAUGAGUAUGAAAAUGUAUAUAAGUUGGUUUUGAAAGAAAACAGUUGGUUUUGGUGUUAUUUUUCCUUGGAUAUGAUGAAGCAUAUUAAUUGAGUUCACAUACAGUGUUGAAAAUCUAUCGGGGUUUGAAAAAAUGUUAUAGGGAGAAAUUGCUAAUUGGUUUCUCCAAUUUACAUGAAGUACUCCAAAAAAAAUAUUUGUUGAAUCAUUGAUACUAUAUAGUAAUAUGAACUGUAGACAACUUAUUAUUAUAGUAUUUGAUAUUAAAAAUUUAUUACAAGCUAUUAUUUGAAAUGAAUAUAAAAUUGGUCAAUUUAGACCGGUUAUAUAUAAAAUAAUACAUGAUAGCUUACUAUGCAAAAAGAUCAUGAUUGAACGGAACAAGCAAAGGCAUGGUGAGAUUCCGAACAUGCCACUUUCACUGAUCAAAAUCAUUUAUAAGCUGGUUCGGAAUUGGAUUUCUAGCUUGCGAUAAAUGGGGGAAGUAGCAUAUACGAUGACCAUGGAAACAUGGUUUUCAAUGUGAUAAUCUUUUAUUUUUUGAAGGCUGCCUUUCUAUCAAUGAAAGAAACUUUUCUGUAUUUCUUUUCAAAUUCUGAUUUAACAUAACUCUCAACUAAUGUUGCAGUCACUGUUUUCAUUCUACCUUCAAUCUCAAUCAGUUCAAAAAAAAAAUGUUGCAGUCACUGUAAAAAAGUUUUUUGGGUUGAAUUAACAUGCAUUCAUUCAAAAAAAGAAAUUGAUGAAUUGGACAAUAUUUCUCCUACCGUUCUAAUUCAUAAUGUACCUUGACGCUGUAUACAAAGAAGAUGGCCUAUGAGCCCCAUACCCAAACUAUGUAUAAAAUUUGGAUAAGAAAUAUGGGAGGCUUUCUUAUGGAGAGAAAAUUAUUAUUUUUUAUUAUUUUUUUAAUUGAGAGAAAAUAAUAUUUUGAUGGAAAGGUGGAGGCCCUGGAGGGCGUAAGCUGAUGGCACCGUCACCACCAGUUCGCAUGUGUCCACAGUGUGUGUGUUGCGCACCGGCUCCCCCUGGAUAUUGCUGCCCAUGUCGCUGUCCUGGU